CACUCACAAAUCUUGAGAUCAUGACCUGAGCCGAAGUCUGGCACUUGACCGAGUCACCCAGGCGUCCCUCUGAAAAUAUACAUUUGAGAACAUAUGUGAUUAUCUCCUUAGGAUACACUCCUACCUGUAUGGCUUAGUGCUGUAAGCAUGAACCUCUUGAUUUCACCUCAGCUUAUGAUCUCCGGGUUCCUGAGACCCAGCCUGGCAUCCGACUGCUUGGGAUUCUGUCUCCUCUCUCUCUCUGCCCCUCUCCCCGCUCCUGCGUGCACUCUUUCUCAUUUUUCUCAAAAUAAAUAAAUAAAUUAUUUUUUAAAAAGGAUAAACUCUUAAAAGAGAAUGUCUAUGUCACAGUAUCAGCACACUUCAAUUGUGGAGACAUUUUGCAGAACCCUUGAAAAUUUUUAUACCAGUCUUCACUCCCAUUAUCCUUUAUGACAGUGUAUUUUCCCGACCCUCUGUUGGACACUCUCAUCACCUACUUUCACCUUUGCCAAGUUGAAGAUACUAAGUUUUAUACCCAUUUUUAUUCUGUUGGAGAACAAGAAGCAGGAGGCACCUUAAGAAUGUCUGGAAGGAAAGGGACAGAACAGCAAGAAACUGAAAACAGUUCCAUUCACAGGACAGAAGGAUGCCGGGACUGCUUGCUCUCUCCAGAAGGAUAUAAUACCGGCAUCAGGCCUGGGAUAAGAAUGUUUUGUCUGGUGCCAGAUGUACUUAUGACCCAGUAUGGAAUACCCUGCAGGUGCACGGCCUGUCAAGAUGCCAAAUACUACGUUGUAUGUGCUCGCUGUUAUCAGACAAUUUGCAAAAAUAAAAGAGGCUUGAGCCAGGAGACCAGUGCUUCGGCUCCUGGAGAGUCAACCCCCUGCUGACUCAUGGCACCUUCAGGCCCUGUCUCUCUACAGCUGGCGCCAGAACAGGGACCUGAAGGUGGACAUUUGCCACACUGCUGAAGAAGUGCCACAGGAACCGAAGGGAACUUUGGAGCUGGGAAGUUCAGCCUUCGGGAUUUCUGCAGGGUGUAGCUGCCCUGUCACAUCCUGUUACAGUAUCAGUGACUGUUCCUCAUGCUGUGCCUUCUAUUCCCGUCACUUCUUCAUUCCCUAACUGGAGCCUGUGUUCCCGCUCCCCCUUACCCGCUGUCCCAACCCCCACACUCUCCUUUCUGGCAACUAACUCAGAUGUUCAUUUACUGUAUGAUAAUACGUGUGAAUAAAAAGUGUCCUGAAGUAAA